rnacentral:rRNA from 1 species
AGAGUUUGAUCAUGGCUCAGAUUGAACGCUGGCGGCAGGCCUAACACAUGCAAGUCGAGCGGUAGCACAGAGAGCUUGCUCUCGGGUGACGAGCGGCGGACGGGUGAGUAAUGUCUGGGAAACUGCCUGAUGGAGGGGGAUAACUACUGGAAACGGUAGCUAAUACCGCAUAAUGUCGCAAGACCAAAGUGGGGGACCUUCGGGCCUCAUGCCAUCAGAUGUGCCCAGAUGGGAUUAGCUAGUAGGUGGGGUAACGGCUCACCUAGGCGACGAUCCCUAGCUGGUCUGAGAGGAUGACCAGCCACACUGGAACUGAGACACGGUCCAGACUCCUACGGGAGGCAGCAGUGGGGAAUAUUGCACAAUGGGCGCAAGCCUGAUGCAGCCAUGCCGCGUGUGUGAAGAAGGCCUUCGGGUUGUAAAGCACUUUCAGCGGGGAGGAAGGCGUUAAGGUUAAUAACCUUGGCGAUUGACGUUACCCGCAGAAGAAGCACCGGCUAACUCCGUGCCAGCAGCCGCGGUAAUACGGAGGGUGCAAGCGUUAAUCGGAAUUACUGGGCGUAAAGCGCACGCAGGCGGUCUGUCAAGUCGGAUGUGAAAUCCCCGGGCUCAACCUGGGAACUGCAUUCGAAACUGGCAGGCUAGAGUCUUGUAGAGGGGGGUAGAAUUCCAGGUGUAGCGGUGAAAUGCGUAGAGAUCUGGAGGAAUACCGGUGGCGAAGGCGGCCCCCUGGACAAAGACUGACGCUCAGGUGCGAAAGCGUGGGGAGCAAACAGGAUUAGAUACCCUGGUAGUCCACGCCGUAAACGAUGUCGAUUUGGAGGUUGUGCCCUUGAGGCGUGGCUUCCGGAGCUAACGCGUUAAAUCGACCGCCUGGGGAGUACGGCCGCAAGGUUAAAACUCAAAUGAAUUGACGGGGGCCCGCACAAGCGGUGGAGCAUGUGGUUUAAUUCGAUGCAACGCGAAGAACCUUACCUGGUCUUGACAUCCACAGAACUUUGCAGAGAUGCUUUGGUGCCUUCGGGAACUGUGAGACAGGUGCUGCAUGGCUGUCGUCAGCUCGUGUUGUGAAAUGUUGGGUUAAGUCCCGCAACGAGCGCAACCCUUAUCCUUUGUUGCCAGCGGUCCGGCCGGGAACUCAAAGGAGACUGCCAGUGAUAAACUGGAGGAAGGUGGGGAUGACGUCAAGUCAUCAUGGCCCUUACGACCAGGGCUACACACGUGCUACAAUGGCAUAUACAAAGAGAAGCGACCUCGCGAGAGCAAGCGGACCUCAUAAAGUAUGUCGUAGUCCGGAUUGGAGUCUGCAACUCGACUCCAUGAAGUCGGAAUCGCUAGUAAUCGUAGAUCAGAAUGCUACGGUGAAUACGUUCCCGGGCCUUGUACACACCGCCCGUCACACCAUGGGAGUGGGUUGCAAAAGAAGUAGGUAGCUUAACCUUCGGGAGGGCGCUUACCACUUUGUGAUUCAUGACUGGGGUGAAGUCGUAACAAGGUAACCGUAGGGGAACCUGCGGUUG